UAUACAGUACAUGAGAUAUGACUCAUUGAAUACACCGACAAAAUUUAAGCUAUUUGUCUUCCACUAAUCACUGACUGGCCAGUGUAAGAUGCUACAUUACCUGCAAAGGUGACUGAGUGGAACUUGUCCCUGAACAUUUGGUGCCAAUGCUGACUCUGCUAGCGUGCAAGGUGAAUGGCGGUCAGGAUAGAGCACUUCUUCUAUGAGCUUAUUGUUUCUGGGAUCUGUCCAGAGCAGGCUGUGUUACUGAAAUGAUAUAGCCUAACACCCAGCAUUGUCUGUCACUGUCACAGUAGUUUAAAAAUGUACAGAUCCAAAGCAAACAUUUUAGUCUGGAUCAGAAAGAGAGUCAAGGAAAGAAGAACCUGGAGGUCACAUGGUCAAACCUCACAGCAUCCUUAAGUCUGCUCCUCUACCUGAUCUCUCAGACCCACAUCUUCUUCAGACAGCUCCUCUUCUGUCAGUCACCCCGGUGCCCUAAAACUGUCCUAAAUGACUUAAUCUACAGGGCGACAGUACUCCAGAGAGGCUGACUCUCCAACCGUGACCUUCUACGGCUAGAGUUUGCAUAAAUGAACUGGCUUAUGAGACAUGAUGAGACAGAGGGAGAUGCAGCGAGACAAGGCAGAGGUACGAGGUUCAGGUAGCAUCAAUGGGUCUGUCUGUGUUUGCUGUCUUGAUGUCUCACUACGUGGGAACAAGAGAGACAGAACAACUGACAUUUUGUUGCAAAAUAAAUAAAAACCAUUGUCUGAUAUGCUCUC